rnacentral:rRNA from 1 species
UGGUGCAUGGUUGUCGUCAGCUCGUGUCGUGAGAUGUUGGGUUAAGUCCCCGCAACCGAGCGCAACCCUCGACCUUAGUUGCCAGCAUUCAGUUGGGCACUCUAAGGUGACUGCCGGCUAAAAGUCGGAGGAAGGUGGGGAUGACGUCAAAUCAUCAUGCCCCUUAUGACCUGGGCUACACACGUGCUACAAUGGGCGGUACAAAGGGUCGCGAACCCGCAGGGGGAGCCAAUCCCAAAAAAGCCGCUCUCAGUUCGGAUUGCAGGCUGCAACUCGCCUGCAUGAAGCCGGAAUCGCUAGUAAUCGCGGAUCAGCAUGCCGCGGUGAAUACGUUCCCGGGCCUU